UUUAAAAUCACAUAAAUUAAAUAUGAGAUGAAAUAAAAUAUUUAUUAGAAGCAAAAUAAGGUUUAUACAACUCCAAGAAUAGAAAUCAAAAAUAUAAAACCCUUGGCCCUUUGUUAGGGCUGCAUCCAGCCCUAGUGAGGAGAUCAACCUUUCAUGGAGUGGUGGACGGCAGCAGCAGCACAGCAGCGGGUUCCCAUCUUCAUAUGAAAAUCUUCUGCUUUCGUCUCACUCCCUCUAUUCCCAAAAUAUCACAAAGUAUUCUCUCCCUCUCCUUUUUUUUAUUCUUUUGUGGGAACUCCCUAAGAAGAGCCAAGCUCUUCUUCUCCCGGUGGGGAACUUGGCCUCUCAGGAGAGAUGGGAGAAGCCUCCCCCCCCCGGUGGGGGAAGAAGGAAUGGGACGGAAGAAUGCCUUUCUCUGAUCAGAAGUCCUCCCUUAUAUAGGCUGCAUACCUCCUUCUCCUCUUCCCUGCUUCACGUUGAGAUAAAGACGGAUCUAAGCGGAAUGAGGCUUAGAUUUGUUCGGGAUGCUCAUCCCGACUGGCCGCAGGAGAUCCGGACGUGGGAGAAGUUGAGCUGGGAGCUGAUGUGUUGAUUGCUGGAUCCUUGAAGCUCGCCGAACGGCUGGAUUGGUUAGUUUGAAGUCAGCUUGAUCCUCGGUUGCAGGGGAUGGCGAGGACGUGGACGUCAGGUUGAGCUUACAGCUGAGAUGGAGAUGCUGGAGGCUUGAAACCGGUGGAUAUGGCUGCGAACAGAGGAUCUUUGGAACGAAUUUGAUAGGUUGGUUCUCAGAUUAUUGGAGUCGGAAAGUUGUUUGGAUGGAUUCGGGAGAUUGAGCUGCUGAGAACGGAAGAAACGGCUGAAGCUCGUGAUGGUUUUGUUCCGCUGAAACAGGGGAUGCAUGGGAUUUGUUCCGAAGAGGAGAUAAGGAUGGAAUGCUGGAUUUGAAUGGGAUUGGCUGCAGAUGUUUGGGAUUAAUCCGGGAGUUUGGAUGAAGCUCACGGCUGGGAAUGGAUGUAAAGUGAUCCGGAAUAGGGGAAAUGAUGAGAAGAUAAGCUUGAAUCUUAUCCGUGGGAGAUAUGGAGAUGAAGCUAAUCCAAGCUUAUCCGGGUUGGGAGGAAAUCCUUGGACUGCGGACGAUGUGGACGCUGAUGUUGUUUGGCAUGCAUCGCAGGAGAAGAUGACGCUGGAUCCGUGGUUGUGAAGUGAUCUGGAUGAUUGGAAUUAAUCCAGGUUGAAUGAAGGGUUAAUCAGUUGGAAUGAGGGAGUUGUUCGUUUUGAAGUUUUGAAUUUGAUUCAGCUGGAAAGAGCCAACGGCUCUGUUCUUUGGAUUCGGAAGAAAGAUACGGGAGCUAGAAGAUAAGGAUGAAGUAGGGGAGGAUGCAUUUGGAUGUUGGGAAUUUCAUGAGAUCAAGCCGUGGACGAUGGGAUUCUAUUCUCAUCGGAAGAGGAGUUCUGUCUUGAGGUAGGGAAUAAUGUGGAUGAGGAGUUCUGUCUUGAGGUAGGGAAUAAUGUGGAUGAAACGAGCUGGGCGAUGGAGUUGGAUCCAUGCGGACAGUUUGAGCCGUGAUAAGAUGAUAUGAGCUGGGAGCAGGGGAUUUUGUUUGGAUGCUAGGAUCUAGCGGAAGAAAAGUGAAGGCUUGAACUCCGUUUUGUUAAGCUGGGAGGUGACGUGGAAGCUAGAAUGUUGCCCAUGGCUGAGAAGAGAUGAGGCUUUGGGAUCUGUGCAACUAAGAUGGUAUGCCUUGGGAUCUAAAAGACAAAUAAUUGAAGGGAUUUUAUUAAAAUAGGAGAAUUGGAUCAUGUGGAAAAAGAGUUGGAACGAGUGGAAAGAAAUUUAGGUGAACGUGUGAAGAGUCAGGAAUUAAUGGGAAGCACUGGAUUUUGGAGAAGAGUUCUUGGAGUCGACUCUAGAGGAUGUAAAAUGAUGCAAUGUAGUUUAGGCUUUACCUAAUUAAGCGUGACUUAACCUGCAUACAUUAAGCUCAAUCCGUAAAUAAGUAAAACUCGAAUUACCUUUAAUAAUUUAUUAAAAUGCAAUGAUAAAGGUAACACAAUUUU
rnacentral:lncRNA from 1 species